rnacentral:rRNA from 1 species
UGAGAAUCUGGCUUUAGGUUCGGGACAACAGUGGGAAACUGCUGCUAAUACCGAAUGUGCAGAAAUGUGAAAGAUUAAUUGCCUGAAGAUGAGCUCGCGUCUGAUUAGCUAGUUGGUGAGGUAAAGGCUCACCAAGGCGACGAUCAGUAACUGGUCUGAGAGGAUGACCAGUCACACUGGGACUGAGACACGGCCCAGACUCCUACGGGAGGCAGCAGUGGGGAAUUUUCCGCAAUGGGCGAAAGCCUGACGGAGCAAUACCGCGUGAGGGAGGAAGGCUCUUGGGUUGUAAACCUCUUUUCUCAGGGAAGAAAAAAAUGACGGUACCUGAGGAAUAAGCAUCGGCUAACUCCGUGCCAGCAGCCGCGGUAAUACGGAGGAUGCAAGCGUUAUCCGGAAUUAUUGGGCGUAAAGCGUCCGCAGGUGGCAAUUCAAGUCUGCUGUCAAAGGUUCUGGCUUAACCAGAAACAGGCAGUGGAAACUGAAUAGCUAGAGUGCGGUAGGGGCAGAGGGAAUUCCCGGUGUAGCGGUGAAAUGCGUAGAGCUCGGGAAGAACAUCGGUGGCGAAAGCGCUCUGCUGGACUGCAACUGACACUCAGGGACGAAAGCUAGGGGAGCGAAUGGGAUUAGAUACCCCAGUAGUCCUAGCCGUA